rnacentral:tRNA from 1 species
GCGCCCGUAGCUCAAUGGACAGAGCGUCUGACUUCGAAUCAGCAGGUUGCAGGUUCGAGUCCUGCCGGGCGCGCCA